rnacentral:rRNA from 1 species
CCUACGGGAGGCAGCAGUGCGGAAUAUUGGUCAAUGGACGAGAGUCUGAACCAGCAAAGUAGCGUGAAGGAUGACUGCCCUAUGGGUUGUCAACUUCUUUUAUAUGGGAAUAAAAUGUUCCACGUGUGGGAUUUUGUAUGUACCAUAUGAAUAAGGAUCGGCUAACUCCGUGCCAGCAGCCGCGGUAAUCCGGAGGAUCCGAGCGUUAUCCGGCUUUAUUGGGUUUAAAGGGAGAGUAGGUGGAUUGUUAAGUCAGUUGUGAAAGUUUGCGGCUCAACCGUAAAAUUGCAGUUGAAACUGGCAGUCUAGAGUACAGUAGAGGUAGGCGGAAUUCGUGGUGUAGCGGUGAAAUGCUGAGAUAGCACGAAGAACACCGAUUGCGAAGGCAGCUCACUGGACUGCAACUGACACUGAGGCUCGAAAGUGUGGGUAUCAAACAGGAUUAGAUACCCCAGUAGUC